CGAAUUCCCAUUGACACUUCCAAUUCCCAAUUCUCAUUGACACAUCGUAAAUCCUAAACAUUUUUCAACAUGACUCGAAAGUUAUUCGAUUUUUGAUAAUGUAGCCGAAGUCUGCAUGAAAGUAAUUCAAUUGCACAUUCUGACUUAUAGCCGUAACCUAAUAGAUUUCGAAAGUUGGUGUUUUUAAAGGAUAUUAAUGUUAUUUUAGUGUUAUUUUGAAGUCGCUUUAAUAACUUUUUCAGUUGUUUUUUAUUUUUAAAGUGUUUUUGAUAAUUUCGACUUAUUAAUUUUCUCUUUCGAUUAUUUUAGUGUUAUUUUGAAGUCGCUUUAAUAACUUUUUCAGUUGUUUUUUAUUUUUAAAGUGUUUUUGAUAAUUUCGACUUAGAUUAAUUUUGUCUUUCGACACGGAUUAAUCUUGUCUUUGUUAGAGUUUCAACUAUGCUUUAUUUGUUUUUGCCAUUUGUUACAUGUUUCGACUAUGUCGCUUUGACUUUGCGAUUUGGCGUCUGUUUUUUUUUUGUGUUUUGUUAAGCUUCGCGUUUUUUCUUUGGCUACGGCCCGCGUUGCGCAUUUUUGUCCCUCGUUUGUCUAAUGUUCUACGCUCACACACUCUACUAAUACGCCCAUCUACACCUACAUAUUCAUCUACGCCUAUACAUACAUCUAUGCCUAUACAUUCAUCUAUGCGCACACCUUACACAUCACUAAACAUUCAUCUACGCCUAUACAUGCAUCUAUACAUUCAUCUACGCCUAUACAUUCAUCUAUACGCACCUUACACAUCACUAUACGCCCAUUUAUACACAUCCAUGUAUCUUAUCAGGAAAGAAAAAAGAUACAAAAUCACUAGAUUGCCACAUGCACAAUCUAGUAAAAUUCAACAAAGGCUAGCAAAGCUUGAUUGCAACACGCUGGAUAGAGUCCCAAAGGCUUUGUUUUCCCUUCUUCAUCAACCCUUGCAAAAUUAAUUAACGAAAAUCAAUAUUCCAUUACAAUCGUUUUUUUUUCGUUUAUCAUUUUUGGUAUAUGCAUAUAUUAUUUACAAAAAAAUCAAAAGCAUUUUAUAGGCAACCUAUUCUAUCUUUGUUUUUUCAUAAAAUAAAAACCUUUUUCUAUGUUUUCAUUUAGACAGAACCGAUACAUAACUAAAAAUGUUUUAUGAUAGAAGCAAAUAUGGCUAAAAAUAUUUUCCUAGUCGUUGAAGUUAAGCCAGCAAUACAUAUACACAAAAAAUGGAUUUAAAACACAGCAAAUGAAAUUCAUUUUAGACAGAACAUAUAUAUAUCUAACUAAAAUGCUCAGUUUAUGAAAGAAACAAAUAUAGCUAAAAAUCAGUUUAUUGUCCUAAUCAUUGAAGUUAAGCCAGCAAUACAUAUACAUACACAAUGGAUUUACAACACAGACAUUGAAUUUCAUGUUCAACUCCCUAAAAGAUGACUAAAAGAUGAAGAACAGGUGAACAAACUACUAAGAACCAUUUAAUGAAAAAAAAAAAAACCAUUUAACGGUAAACACUAGAGGAUUUAGACCAGAGUAUUUUACCUUGUAAGGAUGAUGCUUUAUGUUUGUUUGAAUGAGGUCUUGACUCAAGUGGAAGAACCAGAAUUAAGAAAUAAAAACAGAUUGUUUCUCGACAUUUUGUAAAAUAUGAACCAAUGAAGAGGAUUCCGAUUUCUGACCCAAGAUGGGAGUAUUUAUAGAGAGCCAUUUAUCUGAAUUUUUGUAAUAAAAUAUUAUCUUCUAACGGUAAUAAAAUGUUACCGUUUCAACGUUUAAAUUUU
rnacentral:lncRNA from 1 species